CCAAUAGCGUAUAUUAAAGUUGUUGCAGUUAAAAAGCUCGUAGUUGAAUUUCGGGAUCAAUAUGUCGGUCGUGCCUUCGGUACGUACUGGUAUCAUUGGUCUCUCCUUUCUGACGAACCAUGAUGUCAUUAAUUUGGUGUUAUGGGGAGUUAGGACUGUUACUUUGAAAAAAUUAGAGUGUUUAAAGCAGGCUUUAGCUUGAAUACAUUAGCAUGGAAUAAUGAAAUAGGACGUUCGAACCUAUUUUGUUGGUUUCUAGGAUCAACGUAAUGAUUAAUAGGGAUAGUUGGGGGCAUUAGUAUUCAAUUGUCAGAGGGGAAAUUCUUGGAUUUAUUGAAGACUAACUACUGCGAAAGCAUUUGCCAAGGAUGUUUUCAUUAAUCAAGAACGAAAGUUAGGGGAUCGAAGACGAUCAGAUACCGUCGUAGUCUUAACCAUAAACUAUGCCGACUAGGGGUCGGAUGAUGUUAAUUUUUUAAUGACUCAUUCGGCGCCUUACG
rnacentral:rRNA from 1 species